rnacentral:rRNA from 1 species
ACGCUGGCGGCAGGCCUAACACAUGCAAGUCGAACGGUAACAGGAAGCAGCUUGCUGCUUUGCUGACGAGUGGCGGACGGGUGAGUAAUGUCUGGGAAACUGCCUGAUGGAGGGGGAUAACUACUGGAAACGGUGGCUAAUACCGCAUAAUGUCGCAAGACCAAAGAGGGGGACCUUCGGGCCUCUUGCCAUCAGAUGUGCCCAGAUGGGAUUAGCUUGUUGGUGAGGUAACGGCUCACCAAGGCGACGAUCCCUAGCUGGUCUGAGAGGAUGACCAGCCACACUGGAACUGAGACACGGUCCAGACUCCUACGGGAGGCAGCAGUGGGGAAUAUUGCACAAUGGGCGCAAGCCUGAUGCAGCCAUGCCGCGUGUAUGAAGAAGGCCUUCGGGUUGUAAAGUACUUUCAGCGGGGAGGAAGGUGUUGUGGUUAAUAACCGCAGCAAUUGACGUUACCCGCAGAAGAAGCACCGGCUAACUCCGUGCCAGCAGCCGCGGUAAUACGGAGGGUGCAAGCGUUAAUCGGAAUUACUGGGCGUAAAGCGCACGCAGGCGGUCUGUCAAGUCGGAUGUGAAAUCCCCGGGCUCAACCUGGGAACUGCAUUCGAAACUGGCAGGCUUGAGUCUUGUAGAGGGGGGUAGAAUUCCAGGUGUAGCGGUGAAAUGCGUAGAGAUCUGGAGGAAUACCGGUGGCGAAGGCGGCCCCCUGGACAAAGACUGACGCUCAGGUGCGAAAGCGUGGGGAGCAAACAGGAUUAGAUACCCUGGUAGUCCACGCCGUAAACGAUGUCUACUUGGAGGUUGUGCCCUUGAGGCGUGGCUUCCGGAGCUAACGCGUUAAGUAGACCGCCUGGGGAGUACGGCCGCAAGGUUAAAACUCAAAUGAAUUGACGGGGGCCCGCACAAGCGGUGGAGCAUGUGGUUUAAUUCGAUGCAACGCGAAGAACCUUACCUGGUCUUGACAUCCACAGAACUUUCCAGAGAUGGAUUGGUGCCUUCGGGAACUGUGAGACAGGUGCUGCAUGGCUGUCGUCAGCUCGUGUUGUGAAAUGUUGGGUUAAGUCCCGCAACGAGCGCAACCCUUAUCCUUUGUUGCCAGCGGUCCGGCCGGGAACUCAAAGGAGACUGCCAGUGAUAAACUGGAGGAAGGUGGGGAUGACGUCAAGUCAUCAUGGCCCUUACGACCAGGGCUACACACGUGCUACAAUGGCGCAUACAAAGAGAAGCGACCUCGCGAGAGCAAGCGGACCUCAUAAAGUGCGUCGUAGUCCGGAUUGGAGUCUGCAACUCGACUCCAUGAAGUCGGAAUCGCUAGUAAUCGUGGAUCAGAAUGCCACGGUGAAUACGUUCCCGGGCCUUGUACACACCGCCCGUCACACCAUGGGAGUGGGUUGCAAAAGAAGUAGGUAGCUUAACCUUCGGGAGGGCGCUUACCACUUUGUGAUUCAUGACUGGGGUGAAGUCGUAACAAGGUAACCGUAGGGGAACCUGC